rnacentral:rRNA from 1 species
UACGUAGGGUGCAAGCGUUGUCCGGAAUUAUUGGGCGUAAAGAGCUCGUAGGCGGUCUGUCGCGUCGGCUGUGAAAUCCCGGAGCUCAACUCCGGGUCUGCAGUCGAUACGGGCAAACUGGAGUACUGCAGGGGAGACUGGAAUUCCUGGUGUAGCGGUGAAAAUGCGCAGAUAUCAGGAGGAACACCAAUAGCGAAGGCAGCUCGCUGGGACGGUACUGACGCUGAGGCGCGAAAGCGUGGGGAGCGAACAGG